rnacentral:rRNA from 1 species
CAGUCGCCGCGGGAACACGAGGGGGGCAAGCGUUGUUCGGAUUUAUUGGGCGUAAAGGGUGCGUAGGCGGUUUGGCAAGUCUUGUGUGAAAUCUUCGGGCUCAACCCGAAGCCUGCACGAGAAACUACCGGGCUUGAGUAUUGGAGAGGUGAGUGGAAUUUCCGGUGUAGCGGUGAAAUGCGUUGAGAUUGGAAAGAACACCAACGGCGAAAGCACUUUGCUGAGCCGACACUGACAUUGAGAGACGAAAUCUAGGGGAGCAAGUGGGAUUAGAGACCCCAGUAGUCCCUGUCUCUUAUAC